UUCCCCCUAUUCAGCGGGCCCACCACCAAACGGGCGUUUGGUUGCCCGUAAUGCUAUUAAUGCCCGAUUCGGUUACGUGGCUGUUACCUCCAUUGGCUGUAAUAGCCAUUCCCCUCGUGAAGCGGCGAUUAGGGAUUCCGCCCUUGUUUCCUAUUUUCUAUUCCAUUCUCUGCCCUCAUCUACCUUCCGUUCCAUCGAUUCUCCGACGUUUCCCUUCCAGAGGUAAUUUACCUUUCCCUUCCAUCGAUUUCUGCUUCUUCUUAUGAUUUCCAUUUUCUGGUCCAAAUGUUUUCUAUUGCAUUUUCGAUUGAAAAGAUGAAAAAUUUUCUUGUUUGAUUUCCUUGUUAACCCCUUGGCUGAUAAAAAAAGAUCAGAUUUCUUUGUUUUUGUGUCCUAGAUUAAUCUAUUCAUUUCCACAGUCAUGAAAUACUGGUAAUGCCCCUUAGAUAGUAAACGAAGCAUACAAACAGAUAGAGACUAAAGAGAGUAAUUACCACUCCUAACUCAUCUGGAUACAACCUACGAUUUGAGAGCCGACUUUCCCUUCCAUUUUGCAAGCUAAAUCAGCUGAUGUAGAGAAGGAGAUGGAACAAGUAAACAUUAAACCAAGUCUUGAUGUCCGCCUUAGUGAUUUGAAGCUUGUUUUAGGACUAGAACUGAGGAUAGUUUAUCCUUUGAUUCUAAACUUUGCUGUUAGUGGGGAACUCGAGUUGAAUGGCCAAGCUCAUCCCAAAUGGAUUAAACCCAAGGGCAUUUUAACAUUUGAGAAUGGUGAUGUGAAUCUUGUUGCAACUCAAGUAAGAUCUCCUAUGCGUUCUACAUUACUCUUCUACAUUAACAUUUAAUGAAUUAUUAUUCGUAAAUGAUGAUCAAAUAAUUUCUUAUUUUUGCUUUAUACAAUGAAUUAGCCUGUGUGUUAAGGAAGGAUAAAGUUAGACCAUUCAGAAACUGAAAUAUCUUUCUUCCCCAUGCUGUGCAAAUUUGCUUGAUAUGGAAUGAGAAAGUUGAAUCUAUCAUAUAGUUUACUUUUUGCCAAUUGUGCUCCAUCGGUCUAACAACGUAGUUGUCCAGUGUAGUAGGGAAUGCAUAAGGUUGGCCUGCAUAAGCCAGAUGGAGGCUAGUGUAUGCCCCACAAAUCCCUAGUCUACUCUCUGUUGAUCCUACGACCGAUCCUCUCAAAUCUUUAGCCAGUAAUAUAUCCUUCGGUACAGAAGUUGAAGUCCAGCUUGGUAAACGUCUGCAGGUAAAUAACAUUCCAUCAGCCUUGAUUAUCUUUUCCCCACAAGUCAAUAUUACUGAAAGAGCUCUUCCUUCUUUCAAGUGAAUCAAUGCAUGGAUAAGAAGGUGGCCAUAACACCAUUGUGAACAGCUUUUGGGUGCUUUGGUUGUGUUUAUUAAUCACUUGGAUGUGGCUCAAUAGGUUUACAUAAAGCCAUUAACCAUUGUUGAAUUUUGUUUUCUAAUAUUUCCAUCCGUCUCUCUUAUAGGCCUCUAUAGUUAGGUAGCUAAAAGACUCAGAGAUGGCUAUGCAAUGGACCUUGAUUUACUAGCUUACAAGUCGGCUACGUGUGCUCCUACAAUCUGCUCCUUCCAAACGCCUUCUUUUCGAGUAUUCUGCUACCUCGCAAGACUAACCCAUGAUCGUGCUUUUCUCUUUUUUUGCCAAACUUGCCAUCUGCCACCGGCCAGCUAAAACUGGGCCUGUAUGGGUAAAAGUUGCCUACCUUUGAAGUUGAAAGGAGAACAAAAGAGGUGUAAGGAAAGGGUGGUAGUUUUUGUCAUUAAAAUGUAGAGGUAGUUUUUUUUUUUUGGCCAAAAUAAAGGUAGGUUUUUUUGUUACUUAUUCUUUGCUGGGAAAAUUCCAUGAACUUGCUUAUGUUUUAUCGUAGUUUCUUCAAGUAGAAAAUCAAUGGUAUUUCGUUUUUAAAUGUAACUACUCCCAUUCCAUUACAGAUUAAUUUUUAUCUAUUUAAUUUGUACUA